rnacentral:rRNA from 2 species
ACUCCUACGGGAGGCAGCAGUAGGGAAUCUUGCGCAAUGGAGGGAACUCUGACGCAGCGACGCCGCGUGAACGAUGAAGGUCUUCGGAUCGUAAAGUUCUGUCCUCAGGGAAGAAGGUCACUUAACGUGACUUGACGGUACCUGUGGAGGAAGCCCCGGCUAACUACGUGCCAGCAGCCGCGGUAAU